GUAGGGAAUAUUGCACAAUGGGGGAAACCCUGAUGCAGCGACGCCGCGUGAGUGAUGAAGGCCUUCGGGUCGUAAAGCUCUGUCGUAUGGGACUAACACAAUGAAGGUACCAUGCAAGAAAGGAUCGGCUAACUUCGUGCCAGCAGCCGCGGUAAGACGAGGGAUCCUAGCGUUGUUCGGAAUCAUUGGGCGUAAAGCGGGUGUAGGCGGAUUUAUAAGUCAGGUGUGAAAACCCAGGGCUCAAACCUGGAAGUGCACUUGAUACUGUAGAUCUUGAGUGUGGUAGAGGUUACUGGAAUUGUUGGUGUAGUGGUGAAAUACGUAGAUAUCAACAGGAAUACCGGAGGCGAAGGCGAGUAACUGGGCCAACACUGACGCUGAGACCCGAAAGCGUGGGGAUCAAACAGGAUUAGAAACCCCUGUAGUCC
rnacentral:rRNA from 1 species